rnacentral:rRNA from 1 species
GUGGGGAAUAUUGGACAAUGGGCGAAAGCCUGAUCCAGCCAUGCCGCGUGUGUGAAGAAGGUCUUCGGAUUGUAAAGCACUUUAAGUUGGGAGGAAGGGCAGUAAGUUAAUACCUUGCUGUUUUGACGUUACCGACAGAAUAAGCACCGGCUAACUUCGUGCCAGCAGCCGCGGUAAUACGAAGGGUGCAAGCGUUAAUCGGAAUUACUGGGCGUAAAGCGCGCGUAGGUGGUUUUGUAAGUUGGAGGUGAAAUCCCCGGGCUCAACCUGGGAACUGCCUCAAAAACUACUGAGCUAGAGUACGGUAGAGGGUAGUGGAAUUUCCUGUGUAGCGGUGAAAUGCGUAGAUAUAGGAAGGAACACCAGUGGCGAAGGCGACUACCUGGACUGAUACUGACACUGAGGUGCGAAAGCGUGGGGAGCAAACAGGAUUAGAUACCCUUGUAGUCC